rnacentral:rRNA from 1 species
GGACUACUAGGGUUUCUAAUCCUGUUCGCUCCCCACGCUUUCGCGCCUCAGCGUCAGUAUCAUGCCAGGUGGCUGCCUUCGCCAUUGACGUUCCUUCCGAUCUCUACGCAUUUCACCGCUACACCGGAAAUUCCGCCACCCUCUCAUGUACUCUAGCCUGACAGUUUGCGAUGCACUUCCCAGGUUAAGCCCGGGGCUUUCACACCACACACGUCAUGCCGCCUACGCGCCCUUUACACCCAGUAACUCCGAUUAACGCUCGCACCCCCUGUAUUACCGCGGCUGCUGGCAC